UCAUCUCCGGGGGUAGAGCACUGUUUCGGCCAGGGGGCCAUCCCGGCUUACCAACCCGAUGCAAACUGCGAAUACCGGAGAAUGUUAUCACGGGAGACACACGGCGGGUGCUAACGUCCGUCGUGAAGAGGGAAACAACCCAGACCGCCAGCUAAGGUCCCAAAGUCAUGGUUAAGUGGGAAACGAUGUGGGAAGGCCCAGACAGCCAGGAUGUUGGCUUAGAAGCAGCCAUCAUUUAAAGAAAGCGUAAUAGCUCACUGGUCGAGUCGGCCUGCGCGGAAGAUGUAACGGGGCUAAACCAUGCACCGAAGCUGCGGCAGCGAUCGUUGGGUAGGGGAGCGUUCUGUAAGCCUGCGAAGGUGGCCUGUGAGGGUUGCUGGAGGUAUCAGAAGUGCGAAUGCUGACAUAAGUAACGAUAAUGCGGGUGAAAAACCCGCACGCCGGAAGACCAAGGGUUCCUGUCCAACGUUAAUCGGGGCAGGGUGAGUCGACCCCUAAGGCGAGGCCGAAAGGCGUAGUCGAUGGGAAACAGGUUAAUAUUCCUGUACCUGGUGUUACUGCGAAGGGGGGACGGAGAAGGCUAUGUUGGCCGGGCGACGGUUGUCCCGGUUUAAGCGUGUAGGCUGGUUUUCCAGGCAAAUCCGGAAAAUCAAGGCUGAGGCGUGACGACGAGGCACUACGGUGCUGAAGCAACAAAUGCCCUGCUUCCAGGAAAAGCCUCUAAGCCUCAGGUAACAUCAGAUCGUACCCGAAACCGACACAGGUGGUCAGGUAGAGAAUACCAAGGCGCUUGAGAGAACCCGGGUGAAGGAACUAGGCAAAAUGGUGCCGUAACUUCGGGAGAAGGCACGCUGACACGUAGGUGAAGCGGUUUACCCGUGAAGCUGAAGUCAGUCGAAGAUACCAGCUGGCUGCAACUGUUUAUUAAAAACACAGCACUGUGCAAACACGAAAGUGGACGUAUACGGUGUGACGCCUGCCCGGUGCCGGAAGGUUAAUUGAUGGGGUCAGCGCAAGCGAAGCUCCUGAUCGAAGCCCCGGUAAACGGCGGCCGUAACUAUAACGGUCCUAAGGUAGCGAAAUUCCUUGUCGGGUAAGUUCCGACCUGCACGAAUGGCGUAAUGAUGGCCAGGCUGUCUCCACCCGGGACUCAGUGAAAUUGAACUCGCUGUGAAGAUGCAGUGUACCCGCGGCAAGACGGAAAGACCCCGUGAACCUUUACUAUAGCUUGACACUGAACACUGGUCCUUGAUGUGCAGGAUAGGUGGGAGGCUUUGAAGUGUGGACGCCAGUCUGCAUGGAGCCGUCCUUGAAAUACCACCCUUUAAUGGCUGGUGUUCUAACGUAGACCCGUGAACCGGGUUGCGGACAGUGUCUGGUGGGUAGUUUGACUGGGGCGGUCUCCUCCUAAAGCGUAACGGAGGAGCACGAAGGUUGGCUAAUCCUGGUCGGACAUCAGGAGGUUAGUGCAAUGGCAUAAGCCAGCUUGACUGCGAGCGUGACGGCGCGAGCAGGUGCGAAAGCAGGUCAUAGUGAUCCGGUGGUUCUGAAUGGAAGGGCCAUCGCUCAACGGAUAAAAGGUACUCCGGGGAUAACAGGCUGAUACCGCCCAAGAGUUCAUAUCGACGGCGGUGUUUGGCACCUCGAUGUCGGCUCAUCACAUCCUGGGGCUGAAGUAGGUCCCAAGGGUAUGGCUGUUCGCCAUUUAAAGUGGUACGCGAGCUGGGUUUAGAACGUCGUGAGACAGUUCGGUCCCUAUCUGCCGUGGGCGCUGGAGAACUGAGGGGGGCUGCUCCUAGUACGAGAGGACCGGAGUGGACGCAUCACUGGUGUUCGGGUUGUCAUGCCAAUGGCACUGCCCGGUAGCUAAAUGCGGAAGAGAUAAGUGCUGAAAGCAUCUAAGCACGAAACUUGCCCCGAGAUGAGUUCUCCCUGAGACUACAAGUCUCCUGAAGGAACGUUGAAGACGACGACGUUGAUAGGCCGGGUGUGUAAGCGCAGCGAUGCGUUGAGCUAACCGGUACUAAUGAACCGUGAGGCUUAACCUUACAACGCCGAAG
rnacentral:rRNA from 5 species